rnacentral:tRNA from 1 species
GGUAGCUCAGCGGUAGAGUGCAUGUCUGGCAAGCAUGAGGCGCUGGGUUCGAUUCCUCAGCACCA